ensembl:snoRNA
AUCCUUUUGUAGUUUAUGAGAGUGAUGAUUAGAUUUUCAUGCUUAUGUGUGAAACGUGCCUCCCUCAAACCUUGUUAUGACGUUGGCAUACUGUCCAUCUGAAA